ACAGGUCGAACGAAACGUUGAGGUAUAUGUGGACUACAUGGUUGUCAAGUCUCCAAGCAUACCCCAACAUGUGGCAGACCUAG
rnacentral:pre_miRNA from 1 species